rnacentral:rRNA from 1 species
GACGUAGGGCGCGAGCGUUUGUCCGGAUUUAUUGGGCGUAAAGAGCUCGUAGGCGGCUUGUCGCGUCGUCCGUGAAAACUUGGGGCUCAACCCCAAGCUUGCGGUCGAUACGGGCAGGCUAGAGUUCGGUAGGGGAGACUGGAAUUCCUGGGUGUAGCGGUGAAAUGCGCAGAUAUCAGGAGGAACACCGGUGGCGAAGGCGGGUCUCUGGGCCGAUACUGACGCUGAGGAGCGAAAGCGUGGGGAGCAAACAGG